GGGGGAGCCCUACCAAGAGAAUGGUCAUCCCAGACAGGCCUAAAGAAGAAGAUUAUUUCUAUUCUAACCCUGAAGAGUGUCUGCAAUUUUCAAAGGAAGGGUUGAGUAGUACAUGAUUUACAUAAAUAUGUGGAGCUUGCGAUUACAUUGCCACCAUUGCUCUCUCAGCUCUAGAUUUUAUUACUAAAGAGAUAUUUAAAAUAGAGUUCCCCGCUUGCAUUCUGGAAACUAU
rnacentral:misc_RNA from 1 species